UGAGGUUAAGCGACUAAGCGUACACGGUGGAUGCCCUGGCAGUCAGAGGCGAUGAAGGACGUGCUAAUCUGCGAUAAGCGUCGGUAAGGUGAUAUGAACCGUUAUAACCGGCGAUUUCCGAAUGGGGAAACCCAGUGUGAUUCAUCACACUAUCAUUACGUGAAUACAUAGCGUAAUGAAGCGAACCGGGGGAACUGAAACAUCUAAGUACCCCGAGGAAAAGAAAUCAACCGAGAUUCCCCCAGUAGCGGCGAGCGAACGGGGAGCAGCCCAGAGUCUGAAUCAGCAUGUGUGGUAGUGGAACGGUCUGGAAAGUCCGACGGUACAGGGUGAUAGUCCCGUACACAAAAGUGCAUGUGUUGUGAACUCGAAGAGUAGGGCGGGACACGUGGUAUCCUGUCUGAAUAUGGGGGGACCAUCCUCCAAGGCUAAAUACUCCUGACUGACCGAUAGUGAACCAGUACCGUGAGGGAAAGGCGAAAAGAACCCCGGCGAGGGGAGUGAAAAAGAACCUGAAACCGUGUACGUACAAGCAGUGGGAGCCUCUUUAUGGGGUGACUGCGUACCUUUUGUAUAAUGGGUCAGCGACUUAUAUUCUGUAGCAAGGUUAACCGAAUAGGGGAGCCGAAGGGAAACCGAGUCUUAACUGGGCGUUAAGUUGCAGGGUAUAGACCCGAAACCCGGUGAUCUAGCCAUGGGCAGGUUGAAGGUUGGGUAACACUAACUGGAGGACCGAACCGACUAAUGUUGAAAAAUUAGCGGAUGACUUGUGGCUGGGGGUGAAAGGCCAAUCAAACCGGGAGAUAGCUGGUUCUCCCCGAAAGCUAUUUAGUAGCGCCUCGUGAAUUCAUCUUCGGGGGUAGAGCACUGUUUCGGCUAGGGGGUCAUCCCGACUUACCAACCCGAUGCAAACUGCGAAUACCGAAGAAUGUUAUCACGGGAGACACACGGCGGGUGCUAACGUCCGUCGUGAAGAGGGAAACAACCCAGACCGCCAGCUAAGGUCCCAAAGUCAUGGUUAAGUGGGAAACGAUGUGGGAAGGCA
rnacentral:rRNA from 1 species